CCAGCAGCCGCGGUAAUUCCAGCUCCAAUAGCGUAUACUAAAGUUGUUGCAGUUAAAAAGCUCGUAGUUGAAUUUCUGGUUUCGAACAGCGGUCUGCUUGCGUAUGCGGUAUGUACCAACUGUUUGAGUCCAUCCUCGGGGAGAACAUACCUGUAAUUAAGUUUAUGGGUAUGGGACCCUCGUCAUUUACUGUGAGCAAAAUAGAGUGUUCAAAGCAGGCGUUUGCCGUUGAAUACAUUAGCAUGGAAUAAUAAGAUAAGACCUCGGUCUAUUUUGUUGGUUUGUACUCUGAGGUAAUGAUUGAUAGGGAUAGUUGGGGGUAUUCGUAUUCAAUUGUCAGAGGUGAAAUUCUUGGAUUUAUGGAAGACGAACUACUGCGAAAGCAUUU
rnacentral:rRNA from 1 species